AAAAAUAGAAUAUAAAGACUUUAAUUAAUAACUUUCGCACAGAACUAAUAGCAUAAUUUUAACUAUAUCACAUUUAAAAAAGUCCUCUGCGAAUCGUAAUUCGGAACUCAAGGUGAAGAAGAUCGACAAACAAAUGUAUCGAACGGCGGCGAAUCGCCUCCUCCGCUUCCAUAUUCUCAGAUCAGUCAUUAUGGUUUUCCACUACCGCCGACCCUCAAACAUUCCCUAAUAAAAUCCUCCAUCCAUCUGAUUCUUCCAUGUCGUCAUCUUCGACGGACAGGGACGAUCCGCGUCCUUGAAGAAGGAAUCCAAAAACAGAUUCCGAGGAGGAGCAAGCUCGUGUGCUGCAAGCUUCCCUACGACACGUCAUGAAGUUCGGAUGGAGUGAAGAAGCGAUGACAGCCGGUGCAAAGGAAAUUGGGGUUUCGCCUUCAAUUGUGGGAUAUUUCCCUCGUAAAGCAGCUGCCCUUGUCCAAGCUAAUUGAUAGAAUUGAUUCCAAAGAGCAAUCACAUCAUUUUAUUCCUAGCCAACGCAUCGCAAAGCUCGCGCAUCCAUUGAAUGUUCCGGCAAGUUUCAAGCAGAGAGCAAUGCUGGUUGAUGAAAUCUGGCACACCACUACAGAUGAGGACUCUGAUAUCGAUUGGUAUGUUAAGUGCACUGUCCUUGGAGGGAUAUACUCAACAACAGAGGUUUACAUGCUGACUGACCACUCCCCGGAAUUCUGUGAUACACAGUUAUUCUUGGAUGAUCAGGUUAAAGAUGCUUUUGGUUUCAAGAAGACAAUCAGGAGGUAUUCUCUCCCACUAUCCCUUUUCCUUGACAAAUCUAUUUUUGAAAUAUCGAUGAAAAUGACAUUGCCUUAGGCAUCGUAUUUGGUAGAAACUGUUGGUACCGGAAUGGGGAGUUCAUUGCAAGUAUUUGUAGGCAAAGUGUUACAGAGAUGAAAAAAAGCUGAUGUGAGUAUGUUUGCUUUAUAUCUGGACGACUAGCAUCCGAAUCGACAUUACACUUUCAUCAGCCAUAAAAAAGCAGGUGAUUUCAUAAGUAAAGUCGUAGCAUUAGGAUAGUCCUUCGAUGGCUCUCGAUGUUUCCAUGGUCAAAUAUCAUUUAGCACAAAGCCGUUGAUCUCCCAGAGUUUAGUUUUCAUAUUAUGCUCAUAUACUUGAGCUUUUACACAACUGUUGCAAAAACCUUACUAGCAUCAUGUUUGAGCCUGAUUAGUGAUCAAACUUUGUCAGUUUAAUAGUAUAGGGAUUUAACCAGCAAAUAGAAUAUAAUAGAGGGCUUAAAAUCAGAAUUUGACAUUAGAUUUUUCGUUAAUGAUUUGAUAUUCUCCAAGUGUUUACAUAAAUGUCCAUGAGAAAGAAACGGGGCUCUUCACUUGAUGUUGAGCAUUGCCCCACACUAUUGAACCAUAUUCAGACCUAACUGUUGAUCCUCUUCUCUUCCUUUUAGCUACAAAACUCACUGUGUAUCUCUUCUUUUCCCCAACAUGCCUAAAGACAAGUGUCCGGGGCCUAACUGAGAUCCUGACAGAUGACGGACCAUCCACCGCCACUUUGUAUAUCGACCGCGCAGGGCCUACGUUUGUUAAUUCCCGAGUGUAUCGAACGACCCUUCUGUCCCCAAACAAGACCGAAAAUGAUGGGUAAUUGAGUUCACCAGGGUCUUUGAAUCUCUUGGAACAUGUAAUGUUAGGACGCUUGACAAUGGUUUUAACUUGAUCAAUGGUGUAUGCUAGUGAGCAUAAGAAGGAUAUGUAUUGUUUCGUAGUUAUAUCGUAUAUUAGUCCCGGAGAAAGGGCUUUUUGAGGGUCGACAUGACCUGCCCCGUGAACCCAUGGAUUCGAUAAUGAACCAUCUGCUGCGUCCCGGAGAGAUGAGUUGGUGUUGUCUCGUGUGUAGGCAGUGGUCAUUAGAGCCGAUUUGAUUGCGCUUGGGCUCCAAUCCGGAUGAGCUGCCUUUAGCAAUGCUGCUAGCCCACUAAUGUGUGGGCACGACAUCGAUGUACCUGUAGUUUUUCGAAACAUGAUUAAUAGGAAUAUGAUUAUACAAUUUAGGCAAAUAGAAGUCUCAACAUACCUGACACAAUGUUGAACUUAGUCUUCCUCGCGUCCUUAACCAACCCGGUCGGACCGAUAGCCUCAGACCAAGCGGCUAAUAUGUCGACUCCUGGCCCAAUCACGUCUGGCUUCAAGAUCUGCGGUGUCACCAUAUUGGGCCCUCGGGAGCUGAAUGCUGCAACCACCGGCGAAGGUCGGACAUUCAAGACGGUCCCACCGAAAACAAGCUUGGCAGUCGGGUUAGGAUUAGAUUGUGCGUAUUUCCUAAUCAAGUCACCGGUUUUCCUCCCUACUGCUACGGCAGGUAGCAAGUGACUAUCAGCCACCAAUUCCUCGGCACUAUCCGCCGUAUUCGCUAAUAUCAUUCCGACCCCUCCGGCAUCUCGUACAACUUCUCCUUUUUCCACACGAGCAUUCGUUCCUCUAUCACAAAUGACUACUUUCCCACGAACCGAAGUCGGUUUAAGCGAACCGGGCAGACAUAAAUUACCAAAAGUGUUGUUAUCUUUGUUGUAAACCAAACCGACCAAUUUUUUCCCCAUUCCUCGACCGCUGUAAAGCGAGACGCCAUUAUAACGGAUUUUGUUUCCUAAAACGGCGUAAGCCGGAAAAUCGCGAUCCAAAGUCCCAGCGCCGACGGUCAUAAUCCAAGGUGCGACGUUAGCAAGAGUGGCUCUUGUCGGCCCACUAUUGCCAGCGGAGCAAGAGACGAAAAUACCCUUCUCCACCGCCGCGAAGGCUCCGAGGGCGAUCGUAUCGCGGUAAUAUGGCGCCGGUCUACCGCCGAGGGACACCGAAAGCACAUUGACACCAUCUCGGAUCGCGCGAUCCAUCCCGGCGAGGAUAUCGGACCCAAAGCAACCCGUUUCCCAACAUACCUUAUAAGCGGCGACCCGGGCUCGAGUCGCCAUCCCACGAGCAAUCCCACUAGCGUACCCUAAAAGGCUAGCGUUAGCCACGUGAGAACCUGUGGCGGUGCUGGCCGUGUGAGUCCCAUGACCAUCUUUAUCACGCGGGGAAUCGAUCUCUUUGGGUUUUUUAUUAAUCCCACCGCCGAUGGCCAUACGGUAACCUUUCGAAAAGCUCCGAGCACCGAUGAGUUUCUUGUUACAAAACUUAGGACCAAAAUCAGGACCCGACUCACAUUCACCCCGCCACUUAGAAGGAAUCUCCGGCAUGCCCGAAUCGUCAAAACUCUUAGAUUCCGGCCAAACUCCGGUAUCAAGAACCCCGAUAAUAACAUCCUCAGAAGCCUGGGUACCACCGCCAGUGGCCCAAAGCCCCAAAUCGGCGUCAAGGCCGAGGAAUUGAGGUGAACGAGUAGUAUGGAGAGUGUAAACAGUAUCUUCAUAAACACCCAGAAUGGAUUCCGAUUUGUUAAGAGACUCAGCUUGUUCUUCAUUUAGAGAAGCAGCGAAGCCAUUAAAAGCUUCAGUAUAUGAAUAAAGAAGUGACUCGGGUGGGGAAUCGUGAUUUUCAAACAUAACACGAGGAAGAAGAUGAAGAAGAAAUUAGAAGAAGAAGAAGAAGAAGAAGCCAUGGCGGCCAUGGCUGUUGAUUACAGUGAAGUGCAGGUUAGACUCUUUUGUGCCGGUUAAAUAACGCACUCAUAUUUCUGUUUGGCCUUAAUCUUUUCCCUUAUUUACCAAUGCCAUCUUGUUAAGCUUCCGUUAUAUCUAAUUUUUUAUAUUAAAAUAUGUCAAAUUCUUGUAUUAGUCCUUGGAUUUUAAUUUUCUAUACUAAAUUCGUUCUAAUUUUGAAAUUUCAAUUCAAACUAAGACGUUAAAUUUGUUCUUUUAAA